AUCCAACUGACGAAUUUUGAAUAGUACGAAACGCGCGUCCUGGAU
rnacentral:hammerhead_ribozyme from 1 species